rnacentral:piRNA from 1 species
GAGCGUAAGAGGGAGUGGAGAACGU